rnacentral:rRNA from 1 species
GCAGUAGCCACGGUAAUACGUAGGUGGCAAGCGUUGUCCGGAAUUAUUGGGCGUAAAGGGCUCGCAGGCGGUUUCUUAAGUCUGAUGUGAAAGCCCCCGGCUCAACCGGGGAGGGUCAUUGGAAACUGGGAAACUUGAGUGCAGAAGAGGAGAGUGGAAUUCCACGUGUAGCGGUGAAAUGCGUAGAGAUGUGGAGGAACACCAGUGGCGAAGGCGACUCUCUGGUCUGUAACUGACGCUGAGGAGCGAAAGCGUGGGGAGCGAACAGGAUUAGAUACCCCAGUAGUCCCUGUCUCUUAUAC